CUUUCUCUCUUCAUAGAUCUUAAAUUGUUCAAACUGUGUGGGAAUAAAUGCUUUUGUCUUUGCAAGCUUCUCAUCUUUAUAAAUUUCCUGCUAAAAAAGGAGCAAGACAGGUUCAUUCUAUAUUUUUUACGAGAAACUACGAUAAUUAUUAAAGGAUGAAGGAGAGAAACGAUGACUAUCUGAGUAGAAAAAACGCGGGAGCCAAGUCUAUUGUCCAUACAUGGCAGAUCUAAUUUUGAAGCUCCAAGCAACCGAACAAACUUCAGUUGCCGUUUGAUUUCAAACAAACGUAACUUUAACAGCUGGCGAUACGUUAGAAGCGUUGCUCGAAUAGACCAAUGAGAGGAGCAUGUCUUUCAUAAACUGUGAGAACACCAAUCAGAUAUAAAAAUGUAAACCGAUAACUGAGAAGUUCAUAUUAUUCAUUAACAAUUGUUUAUUCGGCGUUAUAAUUGUAUAUUUACGGCGGUUUUAAAUAAUAUUUACGAUAUAAAUAUAUGAUAUAAUAUAAUAAAUAUUUUUAUAAUUAUUUAAUAAUUAUAUAUAAUAAUAAUAUAUUUUAAAUAUGAACAUGCAGAUAAGUAUGUACAUAAGUACACAGUGCAUCAUUCAUUGUGAUACAAUCACACCAGACACGGAAGAGAGAGAAACAUGUAUCUAUCGACAAACAUAUUUAACUUUAAUGAAUGUCUCAUUUUAAUACAAUAAUGUGAUUUACUACUCCU